rnacentral:rRNA from 1 species
GCGAAGCGAACGCGGUGAACUGAAACAUCUAAGUAACCGCAGGAAAAGAAAUCAACCGAGAUUCCCAAAGUAGUGGCGAGCGAAAUGGGAUGAGCCUUGCACUCUUUAUUUGUAUUGUUAGCCGAACGCUCUGGAAAGUGCGGCCAUAGCAGGUGAUAGCCCUGUAGGCGAAAACAGUAUGAAAGAACUAGGUGUGCGACAAGUAGGGCGGGACACGUGAAAUCCUGUCUGAAGAUGGGGGGACCAUCCUCCAAGGCUAAAUACUCGUGAUCGACCGAUAGUGAACCAGUACCGUGAGGGAAAGGCGAAAAGAACCCCGGGAGGGGAGUGAAAUAGAUCCUGAAACCGCAUGCAUACAAACAGUCGGAGCCUCGUAAGGGGUGACGGCGUACCUUUUGUAUAAUGGGUCAGCGACUUACGUUCAGUAGCAAGCUUAACCGUAUAGGGCAGGCGUAGCGAAAGCGAGUCCGAAUAGGGCGUUCAGUUGCUGGGCGUAGACCCGAAACCAGGUGAUCUAUCCAUGGCCAGGAUGAAGGUGCGGUAACACGUACUGGAGGUCCGAACCCACUAACGUUGAAAAGUUAGGGGAUGAGCUGUGGAUAGGGGUGAAAGGCUAAACAAACCUGGAAAUAGCUGGUUCUCUCCGAAAACUAUUUAGGUAGUGCCUCGUGUCUCACCUUCGGGGGUAGAGCACUGUCAUGGUUGGGGGGUCUAUUGCAGAUUACCCCGCCAUAGCAAACUCCGAAUACCGAAGAGUGCAAUCACGGGAGACAGACAUCGGGUGCUAACGUCCGGUGUCAAGAGGGAAACAACCCAGACC